GGACUACAGGGGUUUCUAAUCCUGUUUGCUCCCCCAGCUUUCGUGCCUGAGCGUCAGGACUCGUUUAGGGCGCUGCUUACGCCGUCGGUGUUCCUCCGGAUCUCUACGCAUUUCACCGCUCCACCCGGAAUUCCACGCCCCUCCCCGAGCCUCAAGCCCCCCAGUCUUCGUGGCACCCUCCCAGGUAAGCCAGGAGAUUUCACCACAAACUUAAGCGGCCGCCUGCGCACCCUUUACGCCCAGUAACUCCGGACAACGCUCGCCUCCUACGUAUUACCGCGGCUGCUGGCAC
rnacentral:rRNA from 1 species